rnacentral:lncRNA from 1 species
UUUCAAAACUUAGCUAUUUUCAUCUCAAAAGAGUAUCAUAGUAGACACUUUUUGGGGGCUUUUGUAAAAUAAUGCACGUAAAAUGCUUGGCUUAGUGCACAUGGUAAUUACUCAACAAAUGCUCCGAUUGGACACUGAUCAUCAUUACUGUUGUUAUCUUUGGAUGGUGCUGUUGUUCUCUUCUGAAAUUUCCUUUUUCUUUUGUUGAAUGCCUCAGCACUCUUGCAGUACAUGAAGCAAUUUCUCUGAUCUGGGGUAUUUUCUCACCAGUCUCUAUUUUAUUAUUAGUUUCCAUACAGGUAAAAUUGCUGUUCUCCACAGCACUCCAAAUCUACACGCCUUGGAGAGCCCGUUUCCAUCCCUUCAGAAAGCAUCAAGAGGAGAGGAGGAAGCUUUUGGAGUUCAGGCCAGAGUCCCAGAAGCGUUUUGGUGACAGGGGAUUAAACAUGUGCUGUGCUUAAUCCAGGAAGUAGAGACUCGACACAUGGAUAAUUAUGGUCUGACUGCGGAACAGAAGCUCACCCAUUGCUGUAGUAUGGGGGCUCUCCAGCCUUUCAGCUGCUUCAUCCUCAGAGCAAUCUGGAAAGUAGACUCCUUGGGAGACUGUUGAGCUCUGCAGUGUGCUGUAAUGUCCAGGGAACAGCUCCUGAUUGUAAGAGAUGUAUCAUCCAGUGAAGGAGACAGGGAUGCAUCCCACUAAAUUUAAUAAUAGUAAUGAUAAUUAUCUCUAACCCUCCUUGAACACUUACUUGCCCUAGCCCCAGCUCUGUUCUAAGCUCCUUAAAUGUAUUAACUCAUUUAAUCCUCAUAUAAAGCAUAGCAUAAGAAGGGAAAAUACUAUUCAUUUAGUUAGAAGAGAGAAAUGCUUUAUCCUGAAUGGGGAGCUUAAGAAGCCUUCAAGAACUGUUGUCACAGGGCAGAAGCUCACAGGCUAAAGGGAAGAUCUUUCCAAACCUGACUUCAUAAGACAGGUGGUGUGGGCUGGAGUCCUCCAGUUACACAUGGUAGUUCCUGUUCCUCUCAGGGUUGCUGACUGCCUGGCACAUCAGACUUUCUCUGGUGGUGGGCACUGAGGAAUGUGAAGUUUGAGAACCGUUGGUAGCUAAGGUGAACAUGAAAAAAAACAGGCCACUCAGUUCUCCUGCUUAGGGAAAAGUAGUUGACCCAUAGUCUGAGCUGCUAGCUCUGUGUCAUUGCCCUGUUUGAGUGGAGGCCAGCUUCCCAUGGCCAAUGACUAAGCAUGGCAGGCAUAAGAAGGCAGACCCGUUUCUGUGAGACAGGCAACUUUGGCUCCAGGAUUCCUCCAAAGCAUAGCUGAAACUUUCCUAGAACCACAUGCAGCAUAGCCAACCCACACUCCUUCCCCGUCUCCUUCAGAGGGUCAGACCUACAUCAUAUUGCAAAGGUUUUUCCCACCUCUUCUGGCUCCCUCCCCUUAGUCCCUUCUGGCUUUUCUCCCAAUAAAUAUCUUGUACAUCUG